rnacentral:rRNA from 2 species
GGACUACUGGGGUAUCUAAUCCUGUUUGCUCCCCACGCUUUCGCGCCUCAGCGUCAGUAACGGGCCAGUGUGUCGCCUUCGCCACUGGUGUUCUUCCGAAUAUCUACGAAUUUCACCUCUACACUCGGAGUUCCACACACCUCUCCCGCACUCAAGACAGCCAGUAUCGAAGGCAAUUCCGAGGUUGAGCCCCGGGCUUUCACCCCCGACUUAACUGUCCGCCUACGCGCCCUUUACGCCCAGUAAUUCCGAGCAACGCUAGCCCCCUUCGUAUUACCGCGGCUGCUGGCAC